rnacentral:rRNA from 1 species
GAUGAACGCUGGCGGCGUGCUUAACACAUGCAAGUCGAACGGAAAGGCCCAAGCUUGCUGGGGUACUCGAUUGGCGAACGGGUGAGUAACACGUGGGUGAUCUGCCCUACACUUCGGGAUAAGCCUGCGAAACUGGGUCUAAGACCGGAUAGGACAACACCUUGGAGGGUGAGGUGGAAAGUUUUUCGGCUUGGGAUAAGCUCGCGGCCUAUCAGCUUGUUGGUGGGGUACUGGCCUACCAAGGCGUCGACGGGUAGCCGGCCGGAGAGGGUGUACGGCGACAUUGGGCCUGCGAUAGGGCCCAGACUCGUACGGGAGGCAGCAGUCGCGAAUAUUGCACAAUGAGCGCACGUGUGAUGAAGCGACGUCGCGUGGGGGAUGACGGCCUUCGGGUUGUAAACUCCUUUCGCUAGGGACGAAGCGCAAGUGACGGUACCUGGAGAAGAAGCACCGGCUAACUACGUG